rnacentral:rRNA from 1 species
UGCUUUGGNANNGGCGGCGGUCUAAGUUCCUNGNAACAGGACAUCACAGAGGGUGAGAAUCCCGUACGUGGUCGCCUGCCUUUGCCGUGUAAAGCUCCUUCGACGAGUCGAGUUGUUUGGGAAUGCAGCUCUAAAUGGGAGGUAAAUUUCUUCUAAAGCUAAAUACUGGCCAGAGACCGAUAGCGCACAAGUAGAGGGAUCGAAAGAUGAAAAGUACUUUGGAAAGAGAGUCAAAAAGCACGUGAAAUUGUUGAAAGGGAAGCGCUUGCAGCCAGACUUGCCCGCAGUUGCUCACCUAGGCUUUGGCCUGGGGCACUCUUCUGCGGGCAGGCCAGCAUCAGUUUGGGCGGUUGGAUAAAGGCCUCUGUCACGUAUCUCCCUUCGGGGUGACCUUAUAGGGGAGGCGCAUGCAACCAGCCCGGACUGAGGUCCGNGCAUCUGCUACGAUGCUGGCGUAAUGGCUGUAAGCGGCCCGUC